rnacentral:rRNA from 1 species
AUGGGACACUUUGGCAUGAAGAAGAUGGAGGACGUACUUGCUACACAUUACUUUUGGCCAAAGAUGAGACGGGAUGUUGAGCGUUUUGUUGCUCGCUGCACUACAUGUCAAAAAGCUAAGUCACGACUCAAUCCUCAUGGUUUAUAUAUGCCUUUGCCUGUACCUAGUGUUCCUUGGGAGGAUAUAUCUAUGGAAUUUGUUUUUGGUUUACCUCGAACAAAGAAGGGGAGGGAUAGCAUAUUUGUUGUCGUGGAUAGAUUCUCAAAAAUGGCACACUUUAUACCAUGUCAUAAAAGAGAUGAUGUUGUUAAUGUUGCUGAUUUGUUCUUUCGUGAAAUUAUUCGCUUGCAUGGUGUGCCAAAUACUAUUGUUUCAAAUCAUGAUAUUGAAUUUAUUAGCCACUUUUGGAGAUGUUUAUGGGCUAAGUUGGGGACUAAACUACUUUUUAGUACUACAUGUCACCCCCAAACUGAUGGACAAACUGAAGUAGUCAAAAGAACUUUGUCUACGAUGCUUAGGGCUGUUUUGAAGAAUAGUAAGAAAAUGUGGGAAGAAUGCUUGCCUCAUAUUGAAUUUACUUAUAAUCAUUCAUUGCAUUCUACUACUAAGAUGUGCCCUUCUGAAAUUCUGUAUGGUUUCCUACCUCAUGCACCAAUUGAUUUGUUGCCUCUUCCAUCUUCGGAGAAGGUUAAUUGUGAUUCUAAACAACGUGUUGAAUUGAUUUUUUAA